AUUCCUUCUUCCAGCAAGCUACUUGUUCUGAAAACUGACCUGCCUGGAAUAGUUCUUUAUUGCAAAACUGAAACUCCCAUUGUGUGAAAACAAGAAAGGAGGACCACCAGAACCAGUCCUGAGGCCACUGAACAACUUUGAAGAAGAAUGAAAGCUUGCAUCUACCCCUUAUCCUUAUCUAAGGCCUUCUUUUCUUUUCUUUUUCCCUCUUUUCUUUUUUGCUUUUUAUGGCCACACCUGCUACAUAUUGAAGGUCCCAGGCUAGAGGUUGAAUUGGAGCUGUGGCCACAGCAAUGCUAGAUCCCAGCGUCAUCUUUGACCUACCCCACAGCUCAUGGAUCCACUGCCCAAGGCCAGGGAUCAAGCCCACAUUCUCAUGGAUACUAGUCAGAUUCGUUUCCCACUGAGCCACAAUGGGAACUCUCCCUUAUUUUCAACUCUCAAACUAUAAAACCAUUUCCUGUUCUCUUCCAAAGGAGGGCACAGUCUUUAAGGCAUUAACCUGCUGUGGCCUCCUUUGCCUGUCAGAGCAAUAAAGCUUUUUUUUUUCCCUCCUUUGUCCAAAACCCUGUCUCUGCAUUUCUCUUCAUCACUAGUGGACGGAAGCUGAAUUUUGGCAAUACUACGGCAUGUGGAAGUUCCCAGGCUAGGGAUUGACUCCCAAGCUGUAGCUGUGACCUCUGUCAAAUACCUUAACCCACUGCACAGGGCCAGGCUGGGGAUUGAACCCAGGCCUCUGCAGGUACCAGAGUCACUGCAGUUGGAUUCUUAACCCACUGAGCCAGAGAAGGAACUCCUCUGCUGAUAUCUUUGUGAAGAAGAGAGAAAGAGAUGAAAUGAAUACUUGUGAACUCAGGUGGAUGUGUACUGGGUUAAAUUCCCAUGGCGAAAGUUACUGAUUAAAUGAUAAAUGACAAGCAGUGAAGCCUCCAGCAUUGUAUUACAGGCUCUAUCCUUGGUUUUGUCCUAUUCCACAUUUCAUUUUAAAUCAAUGAUAUCAAUUCUUUCCUGCCAAAGACCACCACAAUAUAUCUAUAGUUGGGGAGUUUGAUUUAUCAUUUGUUGCACUUGCAAGAGAAUUCUUAUUAUGGGGAAUUCUAUGAUAAGUGUUAGGGGACCAUUGACUGAAACUGCCUGCCUUGGCCAAACACCACAGUAGCCACUUGAUGAGUAGUCUCACAACAGGAGGCCCUGAUAAGAAAAAUGGCACUUCCCUGAAGACUAACCUGGAAGAUUAGGAGGUGUUGGAGGCAUGAAUAUGUGAUGUGACAAAGAAUGGAAAGAAAAGACUGGUGCCAUAGAGUGGCUGUAGAGGUCAGCCUAUACAAAGUCUUGUGACUUUUUCAUGACCUCUGAGGUAAAAAAAAAAUGAGAAAAACAUCAAAGAAUGGCAUCUUGAAAACAAGAUUGCUGAAGUAUUGAUGUUGCUGAUGGAAAACCAUCAGCUCUGACAUUCUCAGGACUGGAGCCUUGGGGGAUUUUGGGGAGAGGCCAUAGAUGGCUUGCAGCAAACAACAAAUUAUGGCCUGGGAGGGCUAAAACAUUUAUGAUUACUUUAUGUGCUUAGGAAUGCCUGUCCUAGCAUAUCUUGCUUCCAAUCUGUUUGAAGUAAAAUCCCGAUGUAUCCCCUGCACCUACAAGGAAGUAAAAAAUAGUAAAUAAAAACCUUGAGUUGGCUCAGAGGGUUGCUAUAGCCUCUAGAAGGUAGUAGCCCCCUGAUCCCCACUCUAUUUCUUUGUCUUUGUCUUCUUAUUUCUGUAGAAACGCUGACUUUGGGACCUGGGUUGACGAGUGACCUCGUCAAGGAGGGUCCAGUAGGAGGGAGAAGACAACCAAUCUCCUAGGAUCCUUGGUGCUGGAAUCCAUCUUGUCUGAGAGGUACAUGCACCACCAAGAGCAAGGAUGGGCUGAGUAAGAUGACUGGCCAGAGAUAACCCAGAAACUAAUCCCAUUCCCAUGAAACCAGAGAUUGAAAGCCCUAUGGCAGAGCAGUUCUCCUAAGUUCCCUUACCCUGUUCCUCUCCCCCUGGUACCUCUUCCCAAUAAAGUCUCUUGUUUUGUCAGCACGUGUGUCUCCUAGGACAGUUCAUUUCUGAGUGUUAGACAAGAGCCCAUGUUUGGGCUCUGGAAGGGGUCCCCCAUUCUGCAGCAAUAGGAUUUGGGUUUUUAGCUGAGUCAUUUUGGAGAGGGUCUAAGGAAGUGGGGCUUUGGAUGCAGUCAAGAAGCCAAGAUAAUUCUAUGAUUGGGUACCUCAUAUCUAUAAAGGAAGCAGACUGGAACUAGGAUGAAGCCAUAAUUGAUUUAAUUUUUUGUAUAUAUAAUGAUUUUUAUUUUUUUCAUUGUAGCUUGUUUACAAUGUUCUGUCAAUUUUCUACUGCGCAGCAUGGUGACCCAGUUACACAUACAUGUAUAGAUUCUUUUUUCUCACAUUAAGGAACAAAAACCAAGCAGGAGGCAAAACUCUCCCAGACUUCAGGCAAUAUUACAAAGCCACAGUAAUCAAGGCAGUGUGGUACUGGUACCAAAACAGACAGACAGAACAAUGGAACAGAAUAGAUAACCCAAAAAUAAACCCAGACAUCUACAGUCAAUUAAUUAUUGACCAAAGGAGGCAAGAAUAUAAAAUGGGAUAAAGAUAGUCUUUUCAGCAAGUUUUGUUGGGAAAACUGGACAACCACAAGCAAAUCAAUGAAACUGGAACACACACUCACACCAUGCACAAAAAUAAACUCAAAAUGGCUGAAAGACUUAAAUAUAAGACAAGACACCACCAAACUCCUGGAAGAGAACAUGGGCAAAACACUCUCUGACAUCAACCUUACAAAUGUUUUCCCAGGUCAGUCUCCCAAGGCAACAGAAAUAAAAGUAAAAAUAAACCAAUGGAACCUAAUCAAACUGACAAGAUUGCACAGCAAAGGAAACCAAAAAGAAAACAAAAAGACAUUUUGCAGAAUGGGAGAAAAUAAUUUCAAAUGAUACGACUGACAAGGGCUUAAUCUCUAAAACAUACAAACAACAUAUACAACUCCAUAGAAAAAAAGCCAAAAACCUAAUGGAAAAAUGGGCAAAAGACUUGAACAGACAUUUCUCCAAAGAGGAUAUACAGAUGGCCAAGAAGCACAUCCCUAAUUAUUAGAGAAAUGCAAAUCAAAGCUAUCAUGAGAUACCACCUCACACCAAUCAGAAUGGCCAUCAUUAAUAAGUCCACAAAUGAAAAAUGCUGGAGGGGGUGUGGAGAAAAGGGAACCCUUCUGCACUGUUUGUAGGAGUGUAAGUUGGUACAACCACUAUGGAGAACAGUAUGGAGACACCUUCGAAAACUAUAUGUAGAACUACCAUAUGACCCAGCAACCCCACUUUGGGGCAUAUUUUUCUUAAGGAUCUGGGAGGCAUCUUUUCGAAAUAUAAUCAUCAAGGAAGAUCCUGACCUUAUUUCCUAGUUUUUGUGGGUGGAUAGGAGCCUCAGAUCAAGUUAAAAAACUAUUUUUACCACACAGAUAUAACAAGUGUGUUUUCCCUUUGGAUAAAGUCAAUUAGCUAGCAUGGAUGGUCACCCCAGUCACCAGGUGAAUUUAGGGUGAACUAUGUGUGACAAGUGGCAUGUCAAGUCUUCUUUCUAGAGGACUAGUUUGGGUUUAUCUUGAGACUGUGUGUGUAAUGGUUUGUAUCUGCUCGGCUGCAGAGAAGAAUGAGAUGUCUUUCUCUCAGAGCCUUGUCUUUAGCAGAUUGCCUGGGAUACAAUCACAUUCUGGUAUAAGGGUUAUUCAAUAAUAAAAUGGUUUUCUUUCUCUUCUGCCUUGGUGGAAAGGUUUCCUGCAUUAGGAGAAUAUUUUGUUUUUUAAUUAUAUCUCCUCAACAUGAGGUCGUCACAGAACAAGGACAAAGAUGGAGCAGUUAUGCAGUUCCCAGUUCUUUCCAGUAAAUCACCCUACUAAUAAGUAAAGAAUCCCCUUUAUGUGUACACCAUUACCAUUUUGAAAGAAUGUGGGAGAUGGACUGAAACCCUUAAAAAGGGUACAUGUGAAAUAGUGUUCUUUGGUUCAAGGAAUAUAUAACUUAGUUUGCAAAUGCAUUCGAAUGUGUCAAACAGUAAAGAGAAAAUGAAUUCAAAGUUCUAGAUACAUCCCUAGUACUUACUUGUCUUAUAAGUGGAAGUUUUUACCUUUUCACCACCUUCCUCCAACUCCCUCUCUUCCUACUUCCUGCCUCUGGUAAUCACAAGCGUGAUCACUUCUUUUUUUCAUUGAGUUUAAGAUGCCACAUAUAAAUGAGGUCAUGAG
rnacentral:lncRNA from 1 species